GGGCAAAGCAUUGCAAUGAUGAGACAGGCUACUGAAAACUGGACUUUUUAAAUGUGUUUUUACACACAUGAUAUACUCAGUGGCCCUAAUGUACUCCUUGUGUGACCACAUGCGCAUGCUUAGUGAUGUGACGCUGUGUUCCAUGUGUGAGAGAGAAGCUCAUUAUUUGGCAACCGGAGUGGCAGCGGGCAAGGCUGAAGAGGGGAUCCCCGGGAUCGUUUUUUUUUUUUUUUUUCUUUCUUCAUCGAAUUACAGGAGUAAAUAGUCUGUCAAAACAAGUGAAAAGCGUUACAGCGACACCUCUUCUCCGCAUUUGUGUUUUGGAAUCCAGGCGACGCUGUCUCCCUCCCACAGUUGCAGGCGGCUGUGGCCUCUCCCGCUGCCAGUUGGUCUCUCCAGGGAUUAAAACCACAGACCGGUUUAAACUGGUUCUCAGGGAAGUGCUUUAUGUCUCCUAUGGAAUCUUGGGAAGGGUCAUGUGGAGCUCUGCUCUGAUGUCACAGUGGAUGAAAAAGACCUUGAGUCAGCAGCUUUCUUGUUCUGAUGGGAGAAGUGUGUACACAGGUAUACAGUGGCUGCCCCAAUGAUUGUUUAGAACCUCUAUAAGGGGAGAGAUGAGGCAAUUAUAUUUAAAAGUCAGAAUGUUUGAAAGGAGAUAAGAGUAGGUCUCCCUGAGUGUACCUCAACUCUAGUCCAGAACGCACACACUUUCGAGGUCACACUGAACUCUGAUUCUUGUUUCAAUUCAUAACCUGCGUUUGUGUGUCUGUGAGAUAUUUGCAUGUCUGUUUGAGUGAUAACUUUAUCCAUGGUGUUGUGCGGUGUAAUAGUUGUGGGUGAAGCUGGUGUUUGAGCUGAGUGGGUCUCCCUUCUCCAUCCUCUAUUAUGGUAAUGAGGGAGGAAUUGGGUCAGCAUCUGGGGAACAGGCACUCAGAGACAGGUUGCAGUCAGACAGAGAGCCCCCCUCCCCAGUACAGCUGGAGGAAUUAAUACCCGGCCUGCUACUACAGUCCACACUCCACUGAUAUGGUGCCCUGGUGGGCAUUUAGGUUUGAUUUGUGCUGUUUUCAUUGUUUGUAUUGUAUGACCACACUCCUCAUUAUCAGCGUGUUAAACUUCCAACUCAUUUUGAGGCAGUGCGUCAUCACUAAAACUAUGCUGUCCAGACACUGACCUA
rnacentral:lncRNA from 1 species